UACGUAGGUGGCAAGCGUUGUCCGGAUUUAUUGGGCGUAAAGGGCGCGCAGGCGGUCCGUUAAGUCUGAGGUGAAAUCUCCCGGCUCAACUGGGAGGGGUCUUCAGAUACUGGCGGACUUGAGGAGUGCAGAGGUGAGUGGAAUUCUCGGUGUAGUGGUGAAAUGCGUAGAUAUCGAGAGGAACACCAGUGGCGAAGGCGGCUCACUGGGCACCACCUGACGCUGAGGCGCGAAAGCGUGGGGAGCGAACCGG
rnacentral:rRNA from 1 species